AACGAACGCUGGCGGCAGGCCUAACACAUGCAAGUCGAACGAGAAAGUCCUUCGGGAUGAGUACAGUGGCGCACGGGUGAGUAACGCGUGGGAAUGUACCCUUUAGUACGGAAUAACCCCGGGAAACUGGGAUUAAUACCGUAUACGCCCUUCGGGGGAAGGAUUUAUCGCUAAAGGAUCAGCCCGCGUAAGAUUAGAUAGUUGGUGGGGUAAUGGCCUACCAAGUCGACGAUCAGUAGCUGGUCUGAGAGGACGACCAGCCACACUGGGACUGAGACACGGCCCAGACUCCUACGGGAGGCAGCAGUGGGGAAUAUUGGACAAUGGGCGCAAGCCUGAUCCAGCCAUGCCGCGUGAGUGAUGAAGGCCUUAGGGUUGUAAAGCUCUUUCACCGAUGAAGAUAAUGACGGUAGUCGGAGAAGAAGCCCCGGCUAACUUCGUGCCAGCAGCCGCGGUAA
rnacentral:rRNA from 1 species